AGAGUAUCCAAGAAAUGAGGGAUUUUCUGCCAGUGCCGCACCACCUAACAAAGCUGAAUGUUGUGAAGGAAAUAGCCAGAAAGAAGAAGAAAACAGUGGCGUGUGAAAGAAAUCCCACAAUAUUCAAUAUGCUGAGAAAUGAGAAAGAAAAAAGGCAGCAGAAUCAUAAAAAUGGUGUUUAUAAAAUCCCUCUGGUGGAUAAUAGCACGGCAGAGCAAUUAGCAUACAUAGGGGUGAAACGAGGUCGAUAAAGAAAUGAGUCAGAGAGCAUAAGAAAGAUAUUUCGCAGGCAAAGCUUAACACAGCAUGAAUUAUACAGAGCACUAUGGCAAGAAAACACAUAAUAAGAAACUUGUAUUCAAUUUUAAAGUCAAUUUUAAAGGAGCGCUUUCGAU
rnacentral:lncRNA from 1 species